AUACGGAGGGUGCAAGCGUUAAUCGGAAUUACUGGGCGUAAAGCGCGCGUAGGCGGAUAUUUAAGUCUCAUGUGAAAGCCCUGGGCUCAACCUGGGAACUGCAUGGGAUACUGGGUAUCUAGAAUACAGUAGAGGGUAGUGGAAUUUCAGGUGUAGCAGUGAAAUGCGUAGAGAUCUGAAGGAACAUCAGUGGCGAAGGCGACUACCUGGACUGAUAUUGACGCUGAGGUGCGAAAGCGUGGGGAGCAAACGGGAUUAGAUACCCUAGUAGUCC
rnacentral:rRNA from 1 species